UACGUAGGGUGCAAGCGUUGUCCGGAAUUAUUGGGCGUAAAGAGCUCGUAGGCGGUCUGUCACGUCGGCUGUGAAAUCCCGAGGCUCAACCUCGGGUCUGCAGUCGAUACGGGCAAACUAGAGUACUGCAGGGGAGACUGGAAUUCCUGGUGUAGCGGUGAAAUGCGCAGAUAUCAGGAGGAACACCGGUGGCGAAGGCGGGUCUCUGGGCCUUACCUGACACUGAGGAGCGAAAGCGUGGGGAGCGAACAGG
rnacentral:rRNA from 1 species